CUGAGAUCUUAGGUAAAUCCGGGAUCUUAAGGCCGAGAGCUGAUGACGAGCUAACUUUUAGUUAGCGAAGUGGUUGAUGCCAUGCUUCCAAGAAAAGCUUCUAAGCUUCAGGUAACCAGGAAUCGUACCCCAAACCGACACAGGUGGGCGGGUAGAGAAUACCAAGGCGAUCGGGAGAACUAUGGUUAAGGAACUCGGCAAAUUACAUCCGUAACUUCGGGAGAAGGAUGACCCUUUCCGGUGAACGUCUUCUCGACGCGAGCUGGCGAGGGUGGCACAGACCAGGGGGUAGCGACUGUUUACCAAAAACACAGCAGCGUGCGAAGCCGUAAGGCGCUGUAUACGCUGUGACGCCUGCCCAAUGCUGGAAGGUCACGGGGAACGGUUAGUCGAAAGGCGAAGCUGUGAACCUAAGCCCCAGUGAAUGGCGGCGGUAACUAUAACCGUCCUAAGGUAGCGAAAUUCCUUGUCGGGUAAGUUCCGACCUGCACGAAUGGUCUAAUGAGUUGAACACUGUCUCCUCCACGAGCCCGGUGAAAUUGUAGUAUCGGUGAAGAUGCCGGUUACCCGUCACGGGACGGAAAGACCCCAUGAACCUUCACUACAACUUUGCAUUGAUUUUGAGCACCAAGUGUGUAGGAUAGUUGGGAGACUAUGAAGCAGUGUCGCCAGGCAUUGUGGAGUCAUCGUUGAAAUACCAACCUCUUGUUGCUUAGAACCUAACCCCUACAGGGGGACAUUGCAUGGUGGGUAGUUUGACUGGGGUGGUCGCCUCCUAAAAAGUAACGGAGGCUCGCAAAGGUACCCUCAGUACGGUUGGUAAUCGUACGUAGAGCGCAUUAGUAUAAGGGUGCUUGACUGUGAGACAGACAAGUCGAUCAGGUGCGAAAGCAGGCUAAAGUGAUCCGGUGGUUCUGUAUGGAAGGGCCAUCGCUCAACGGAUAAAAGGUACGCCGGGGAUAACAGGCUGAUGACCCCCAAGAGUCCAUAUCGACGGGGUUGUUUGGCACCUCGAUGUCGACUCAUCGCAUCCUGGGGCUGGAGCAGGUCCCAAGGGUAUGGCUGUUCGCCAUUUAAAGAGGUACGUGAGCUGGGUUUAAAACGUCGUGAGACAGUUUGGUCCCUAUCUUCCGUGGGCGCUGCAAGAUUGAGAGAGCCUGCUCCUAGUACGAGAGGACCGGAGUGGACGCACCUCUGGUGUAUCGGUUGUCACGCCAGUGGCAUUGCCGAGUAGCUAAGUGCGGAAGAGAUAACCGCUGAAAGCAUCUAAGC
rnacentral:rRNA from 1 species